GAUGAAGAACGCAGCGAAAUGCGAUAAGUAAUGUGAAUUGCAGAAUUCGGUGAAUCAUCGAAUCUUUGAACGCACCUUGCGCCCUUUGGCCAUUCCGAAGGGCAUGCCUGUUUGAGUAUCAUGAACACCUCAACUCUUCAUGGUUUUCCGUGAUGAGCUUGGACUUUGGGGGUCUUGCUGGCCUAUGGUCAGCUCCUCUAAAAUAAAUCAGCUUGCCAGUGUUUGGUGGGUAUCACAGGUGUGAUAACUAUCUACGCUUGUGGUUUUCCACCAGGUAACCUUCAGCAGUGGAGGUUCGCUGGAGCUCACAGAUGUGUCUCUCCUCAGUGAGGACAGCUCUUUGAAUGUUUGAUCUCAAAUCAGGUAGGACUACCCGCUGAACUUAAGCAUAUCAAUAAGCGGAGGA
rnacentral:misc_RNA from 1 species